UACGUAGGCAGCAAGCGUUGUUCGGAAUUACUGGGCGUAAAGAGUGUGUAGGCGGUGCUCUAAGUCUGUUGUGAAAUCUCCCGGCUUAACCGGGAGGGUGCGGCGGAAACUGGAGUGCUUGAGGGUGGGAGAGGUAAGCGGAAUUCCUGGUGUAGCGGUGAAAUGCGUAGAGAUCGGGAAGAACGCCAAGGGCGAAGGCACUCUGCUAGGCCUGAUUUCGCGACUGACACUCAGGGACGAGAGCCAGGGGAGCGAAUGGG
rnacentral:rRNA from 1 species